UAAAGUUCAGGUGUUCUAGUAGGAUUUCCAUGACAUUUUCUCAAGAACCUGGCAUUUUUACAUCACAAGAACCUGUGUGUAGUAGAACAAGAUAGUUCAGGGUUGCGUUAAAGUGCAGCAGGGAAACGAGGCGAUGGCCACUAGAAGGACGGUGACGGAGAACAAUAUGGCUGUGAUGUGAACAGGGGAUACGUUCUCAUAGGCGGAACCAUGACCUACCUUGCAUUUAACACACCUGUACUUUCACUUUUGUUUCUGUUCAACUCCCGUGUUAUUUCCCGUGUUAUAUCGUCUACACAAAGGAAAAAGGGCACUCACAUUGCUAACAGAAAGCCCACAUUUGCUAAAGCCACAUUUUAUCUCUCAGUCCCAAAAGUUCAAGGUCUCAACAUUUAUUUUAAAUACCAGUGUGGAAUGUGUUGUACCAUAUAUCCUUUGGUAAGAUGAUUUUCUUGUCCUACUGCCUUAAAAUGAUGUUGUGUGAUUCAUGACUGCUCCUGCUCAGUUCUAGUCUAAUUAUAUAUCUCUAGACCUCUGUUAUUCCACCUCUUGUACGCAACUGUAACUGUUAGAAGCACUUACUACUUUCUUAGACAAAUUACUGCUACACAUUUAUUGCUUAUUAUCAAUGUUAUUUUCCUUGUCUUCCUAAAAUGUUGUGCAGUUUAUUACAUUAAGUUGUUGCUUGAAGGGUCAGUUCACCCAUUUUUAUAUGUUGAGGAAUGAUUUACUAUUCACGCAUUUAGUGUUAAUUAUGAUUAUUAAUUGUGUUUAUGUUGUUAGUAUACAGUGUUCAGUCAUAAGAUCACUUCUGGGGCUGUAAUGGCACAUUUAUUGUAUCCAUGCCAUACGGUAUGGGUUCUCAUUAUGGUACGGUAUGGGGUCUCAUUAUGGUACGGUAUGGGUUCUCAUUAUGGUGCGGUAUGGGGUCUCAUUAUGGUACGAUAUGGGGUCUCAUUAUGGUAUGGUAUGGGGUCUCAUUAUGGUACGGUAUGGGGUCUCUAUGGUACGGUAUGGGGUCUCAUUAUGGUACGGUAUGGGGUCUCAUUAUGGUACGGUAUGGGGUCUCAUUAUGGUACGGUAUGGGGUCAUGUCACUGAAAUCAGCUAUAACCUGUUAUUUAUUGCUGAUAUGACUGGUCAAAAGACCAAGAAAAACCCCAAGAAAAAUUCUACAAUUUAAACUCCCCUGCUGAGAAUUCAGUAUUCAUGGGAAAUAUACCAUAUUUCCGUAAUAUGAAUACAAAAAUACUGUACAAUUUGAGGUCAUAUGGUUAUAAUCUGACACAUCGGGGCUCAACGUUAACUUACUGGCCCCAAAAAAUUAAUUUACACAUUUUUUUCCCUCCUUCCAAAAGUUGUUAUUUAUGAGUGUUACAACAAAUAAUCAAAUACUUUUGUUACAUAACAUGUUUUAUCCUUUAUGAAAUGCAUUCAGGAUAUAUAAAGAAAUAUUCAUUUUUAUAUUUCUUUCAUCACAUUUCUCAGUCGUUCUCGCCUACCAUUGGUCUUGGUCUCGACUCAGACUCGAUUUGCUUCAGCCUUGGUCUUGACUUGGUCUCGCUUUAGGUGGUCACCACCUUUAGGUGGCAACACUCCCUUUUCGGGACACGAGUGGGAUAUGAUCACUAGUAUAGCCAGUAGGAGAGGCCUUAAUUAGGGCAGUAAAUUCAUCAGGCUUCAGACAUAUUUCACACAAGCCAAUAAACAUCUGGUUUAUGAUCAGUGGUUUAUUUAUUUACUUCAAUUGCUUUUGGAGCAGGGGAUCUAACAAGGAGUCCCAUUUUGAGAUGCGAGGUAAUACAGUCAUUUUUAUUUGUAACCGAGGUGGAGGAAGGCUUUAUCUUAAUUAGGUUGCUAUUGUUAGCAGUAGCACUACAUUGUUUAACUUUUCUCAGCCUGGAACGAGUCACAGUUGCAAUAGGCAAAACUAUAGUAACUACUCUGGCUAUUGACAGACUCCACUAUGCUAGGAGGCUGGCUAACAGUGAAUAACAAUAUCUCUGUACUCUCCAUAAUUGCCCGUUUUAGAUUUGGGGCUAUGACGGUGGCUAUGCCCUCCUGGUAAACCGUGUACGAUUGGCGGCUGAUUCUUUAGUCUAAUACGGUGGGUAGUGGAAUUGCCGAUUACUAAAAUUUUCAGUUUUCCUGGGCCACCGGUAGAAAAUGCCUGCCGAUCAUUCCCCUCCGUAGACGGCUCGGGCCUUGAAAAUCUGUUGAAAAUAUCUGUCGGCUCUAGCAGCGACCCAGGUUUAACUAGUCGGCAGCAUUUCUUCCCAUUGACCAAGAGUAAGUUCUUGCCUGGCUGCAGGGGCUGUGCCGGGGGGCAAACAACACUAUCGUUUCUUCCUGGAGGCCCGAGCCGUCAAUUGAACAACCGUUCAAUUGAACGAUAAAACUGAGUCAGUCGUUCACAAGUCUAAAAAGUUGUGUAAAAAGUCAAUACAUAAAAAUAAUACGUUGGUAAACUCGUGAUGGUGGUGUGGGGGUGAGGAAGGAGGAACCAAAUACAGGAGAAGUUGACGGAACACAAGUGAAUUAUUCCCUGCUGACAGAUGCAAAACGAUAAAUAACACCAGUCAACUAGCUGCAUAAAGCGGGCAUAUGAGAAAGCACUGUGGGUAAGGCUUAUGCUACCACAAUAAGCAGGCACACAAGCUAAACCUUGACAUAGGCGGAACUGUGACACAUUGCCUAGCUUGCAUUUAACACAUCUGCACUUUCACUUUUGUUUCUGUUCAACUCCUGUGUGAUUGGCUGUCUUCUACACAAAGGAAAUACAGCACUCACAUUGCUGAAAGAAAUUCCACUUUGUUUAAGACACAUUUUUACGAAAAGUUCAAGGUCUCAACAUUUAUGUUAAAUACCGGUGUGGAAUCUGUUGUACCAUCCUUUGGUAAGAUGAUUUUCUUGUCCUACUGCCUUAAAAUGAUGUUGUGUGAUUCAUGACUGCUCCUGCUCAGUUCUAGUCUAAUUACAUAUCUCUAGACCUCUGUUAUUCCACCUCUUGUACGCAACUGUAACUGUUAGAAGCACUUACUACUUUCUUAGACAAAGUACUUCUACACAUUUAUUGCUUAUUAUCAAUGUUAUUUUCCUUGUCUUCCUUACAUUUUGUGCAGUUUAUUACAUAACAAGUUGUUGCUUAAGGAAUGUUUUAUUCUUCAGUGAGACAUAACACUUGUAGUGUUAAUUAUGAUUAUUAAUAGUUUUUAUUGUGCAUUAUUAUUAUGUUGUUAGUAUACAGUGUUCAGUCAUAAGAUCACUUCUGGGUAUGGUACGAUAUGGGGUCUCAUUAUGGUACGGUAUGGGGUCUCAUUAUGGUACGGUAUGGGGUCUCAUUAUGGUAUGGGGUCUCAUUAUGGUACGAUAUGGGGUCUCAUUAUGGUUCGGUAUGGGAUCUCAUUAUGGUACGGUAUGGGGUCUCAUUAUGGUACAGUAUGGGGUCUCAUUAUGGUACGGUAUGGGGUCUCAUUAUGGUAUGGGGUCUCAUUAUGGUACGAUAUGGGGUCUCAUUAUGGUUCGGUAUGGGAUCUCAUUAUGGUACGGUAUGGGGUCUCAUUAUGGUAAGAUAUGGGGUCUCAUUAUGGUUCGGUAUGGGAUCUCAUUAUGGUAUGGUAUGGGGACUGGGGUCUCAUUAUGGUACGGUAUGGGGUUUCAUUAUGGUACAGUAUGGUGUCUCAUUAUGGUACGGUAUGGGGUCUCAUUAUGGUUUGGUAUGGGGUCUCAUUAUGGUACAGUAUGGGUUCUCAUUAUGGUGCGGUAUGGGUUCUCAUUAUGGUACGGUAUGGGGACUGGGGUCUCAUUAUGGUACGGUAUGGGUUCUCAUUAUGGUACGGUAUGGGGAAUGGGGCCUCAUUAUGGUACGGUAUGGGGUCUCAUUAUGGUACGGUAUGGAGACUGGGGUCUCAUUAUGGUAUGGUAUGGGGUCUCAUUAUGGUACGGUAUGGGGACUGGGGUCUCAUUAUGGUACGAUAUGGGAUCUCAUUAUGGUACGGUAUGGGGUCUCAUUAUGGUUCGGUAUGGGAUCUCAUUAUGGUACGGUAUGGGGUCGCAUUAUGGUACGAUAUGGGGUCUCAUUAUGGUUCGGUAUGGGAUCUCAUUAUGGUACGUUAUGGGGUCGCAUUAUGGUACGAUAUGGGGUCUCAUUAUGGUUCGGUAUGGGAUCUCAUUAUGGUAUGGUAUGGGGUCGCAUUAUGGUACGAUAUGGGGUCUCAUUAUGGUGCGGUAUGGGGUCUCAUUAUGGUACGGUAUGGGGAAUAGGGCCUCAUUAUGGUACGGUAUGGAGACUGGGGUUUCAUUAUGGUAUGGUAUGGGGUCUCAUUAUGGUACGGUAUGGGGACUGGGGUCUCAUUAUGGUACGAUAUGGGAUCUCAUUAUGGUACGGUAUGGGGUCUCAUUAUGGUUUGGUAUGGGAUCUCAUUAUGGUACGGUAUGGGGUCACAUUAUGGUACGAUAUGGGGUCUCAUUAUGGUUCGGUAUGGGAUAUCAUUAUGGUAUGGUAUGGGGUCGCAUUAUGGUACGAUAUGGGGUCUCAUUAUGGUUCGGUAUGGGAUCUCAUCAUGGUACGGUAUGGGGUCUCAUUAUGGUAUGGUAUGGGGACUGGGGUCUCAUUAUGGUACGGUAUGGGGUUUCAUUAUGGUACAGUAUGGGGUCUCAUUAUGGUACGGUAUGGGGUCUCAUUAUGGUACGGUAUGGGGACUGGGGUCUCAUUAUGGUAUGGGGUCUCAUUAUGCACCAAACUAAUGCAGCUGCUAACACCUUAACUUUUAACUCAUCCAUGCCUACAUAACCCAGAUGUUAUAUAUUAGUUUGUACCUUUUAUACCCAGAUACUUGCCGUAGUUGGAUGCAUAGAGAAUGUUGGGUAAUGUGGUUGUAAGUUUAAACACGUUUGAUAUAAACGGGUGAACCAAGUACUGCCUUCCGACACAUUAUUACAAUUUUGUUAUGAAGACUUGGUUAUGAAACCGACAAGACAUAACAGACAUAAAAAUGAAUCUUCUCUCUGCUGAAUAGAAUGCCAGACCUCCUAAAUGUGUGCAACUCACUAGUCCAUCUCAUACCUAUUUCAGUUCACAGGUACCCCCACUAAAUUAGCAUUUAAACCAUGGAAUUCCUGGAGUCAACAAAGACAGACCUGUGCCAGUGGUUAUCAACAGGUGCUCAGUAUAUCAUUGACAAGUGUGAAGAUAUUUUAUCUGUUAAACAAGGAAAGGCUGUGUGCAACCAAGACACUGAUGAAAAGAAGAUCAACAUGCUGUUGAAAUGUAUUAUGGAAAGGGGAGAGAAAACAUGUGAGGAGUUCCUUGAGAUUCUGAAGAAAGAGCAAAAGCAUUACCCGAGCCUUCAACAGCAUUUCAGCAAGAACAUGGAUGGUCCAACAGUGUAUGCGGAUUGCAACAGCAUCGUUGACACCCGAAAAGUAACCAACGUCCAGGUUAAAAAAGACUUAAACAUGAAUGCAACUGUUCAAGCAGGAGAGAUGAAUCCAUCUGGAGUUAACCACAGCCAACUACCCCAAUGUGCAGAUAUGGUUGCAACCAACAGCAGUUUUAUAUUUGCAUCAGAAGUAUCAAACUGUACAAUUGAUGGAGACUUCAAUAUGUCUUUGAGACAGGCCCCACCCCCAAAUGCCCCACAAUGUCCAGGACCUUCUGAGUCAAAGGAGAGUAAAUUAACCUCAACAUGUUCCAUUGCAGACAUACCUGGGUUUUUGAAAAGAAACCGUGUGAUUUUGAUCAGUAGAGUUAAAAACGUGAAGGCCAUUGUAGAUACCAUGCAGAGCACGGUUUAUCCAGAUGAACUGGCCGCCAACGUUAAUGCCCAGUCGACAACACAAGAGAUGAUGCGGUUGAUUCUGGACACUGUGACGAGCACCGGGGCCAUGAAAGCCCUGAUAAAAGCCCUUCAUCUUCAUCAGAAGGAUGUCAUGGAUGACCUGAUGAGGGACAGUAAUAAUACUCACUAAGUUAUUGUUCGUGUAUAUUCAUGUUUAAGUAAACAUAAAUACAUUAAUCAACAACUGGA